rnacentral:tRNA from 1 species
CGGGGUGUAGCGCAGCCUGGCUAGCGCGUCUGCUUUGGGAGCAGUGGGUCGGGGGUUCGAAUCCCUCCACCCCGACCA